AAAACUGAAUACCUAGAGUAUGGGAGAGGUAGAUGGAAUUUCUGGUGUAGGGGUAAAAUCCGUAGAGAUCAGAAGGAAUACCGAUUGCGAAGGCGAUCUACUGGAACAUUACUGACGCUAAGAUGCGAAAGCGUGGGGAGCAAACAGGAUUAGAUACCCUGGUAGUCCACGCCCUAAACGAUGUACACUAGUUGUUGCUAUGCUAGACAUAGCAGUAAUGCAGUUAACACAUUAAGUGUACCGCCUGGGGAGUACGGUCGCAAGAUUAAAACUCAAAGGAAUAGACGGGGACCCGCACAAGCGGUGGAGCAUGUGGUUUAAUUCGACGAUACGCGAAGAACCUUACCUGGCCUUGACAUAGACAGAAUUUAGUAGAGAUAUAAAAGUGCCAGUUUACUGGAGCUGUUAUACAGGUGCUGCACGGCUGUCGUCAGCUCGUGUCGUGAGAUGUUGGGUUAAGUCCCGCAACGAGCGCAACCCACGUGUCUAGUUACUAACAGUUCGGCUGAGGACUCUAGACAGACUGCCUUCGUAAGGAGGAGGAAGGUGUGGACGACGUCAAGUCAUCAUGGCCCUUACGGCCAGGGCUACACACGUGCUACAAUGGGGUAUACAGAGAGCCGCAAUACCGCGAGGUGGAGCAAAUCUUUAAAAUAUCUCCCAGUUCGGAUAGCACUCUGCAACUCGAGUGCUUGAAGUUGGAAUCGCUAGUAAUCGUGAAUCAGCAAUGUCACGGUGAAUACGUUCCCGGGUCUUGUACUCACCGCCCGUCACACCAUGGGAGUUGAAUUCAUUCGAAGCGGGGAUGCUAAAAUAGCUACCUUCCACAGUGG
rnacentral:rRNA from 1 species